rnacentral:rRNA from 1 species
AUUGAACGCUGGCGGAAUGCUUUACACAUGCAAGUCGAACGGUAGAGGGGGCAACCCCUUGAGAGUGGCGAACGGGUGAGUAAUAUAUCGGAACGUGCCCAGUCGUGGGGAUAACGUAGCGAAAGUUACGCUAAUACCGCAUACGAUCUAAGGAUGAAAGCGGGGGAUCGCAAGACCUCGCGCGAUUGGAGCGGCCGAUAUCAGAUUAGGUAGUUGGUGGGGUAAAGGCUCACCAAGCCAACGAUCUGUAGCUGGUCUGAGAGGACGACCAGCCACACUGGAACUGAGACACGGUCCAGACUCCUACGGGAGGCAGCAGUGGGGAAUUUUGGACAAUGGGCGCAAGCCUGAUCCAGCAAUGCCGCGUGCAGGAUGACGGUCCUAUGGAUUGUAAACUGCUUUAUACAGGAAGAAACACUCCGACGUGUCGGAGCUUGACGGUACUGUAAGAAUAAGGAUCGGCUAAACUCCGUGCCAGCAGCCGCGGU